CCCAAAGAUGAGGCCUUGUUCACCUGGAAAAAAACAAAAAAAAAAAAAGGCAGGCUGAGAGAUUUUGAAGCUGGAUGCUCAUAUCCAGCAUUCUGUCCUAGCCUCUUAGUGAUUACUUUCUACAGGAACAGGCAGCAAACCUGGCCACUGAUAUACUGAGAUGCUGUGAGGAAGUCCAUUACAGCUUACCUGUUGGUUCAGCUUCCCGAUGGGUAAAACAGAAGUGAAAAGCACAACUCUUGUACUCGCCUUCUUCCUAAAGUCUGUGGUUUCAGACAGCUCUGAAAGUGCUGUGGUGUAGGAUUCAAGGCAAGUAUCAGGUGUGGUCCAUUAGUGGAAUGAGAAGGGGUAAAGCCAGAUGGCAGGAGGCAUCCCACUGGGGAACACAAUGUUUCAGGCACCAGGCAGUUAAUUUCUCGUGUUAGCCAGGUAAGAGAGCAUGUUUGAUAAAGACCAGAUGAAAAAUGAGCAUAAUUGUGCAUUGGGCGAUUCAUCCUCUCCUUAAAACAGAACUUUGACAAAACAUUCAUGAGGAAUUUUCAUCCCUAUCUGUUUUCUAGUUUUUCACAGGAAAAUCAAUGCAAAUACCACUUCAAAGUAGCAACCAGAUGUUUCCCUCCUGCUUUUUUAGAUACCCAUUGUGGGUAAGAGAAACAUUUCACAAAUAGAAGUGAGAGUUUGAUAUAUAGUAGCUGAUAUCAAUCUAGUAGGAAACAGCUGUAUUUCUUUUCUGCACUAGUGGCUGUCAGCAAGUAACACUGAGCUGACUUUGGAUAUCCCCUACCUCAAGGGAAGCAUUAUCCUCUGUACUCCCUCCAGUACUGUGUUUUCUGAUAAAGAACAAAUGUGUCUGCUAAAAUCAGUUCAUGCUGCAGUAACCACUUGGAGCAAAUCUUUGUUUUCAGUUAUAAAAAUUCUCCCUUACAGUACAAAGUUAACUAUUUGGAGUUUCGCAGAAUUAUUCCGUAUUUACCUGGCUAUGCCUGGUAUAACCCCAGCUGCACUUUGGCCAGUGUUUGGUAGCUGAGUGCAGCUUGCAAUGCAGUUUCAUAUGUAUGUUAACCAAGAAAGGGAUGUGCUUUGGACAAAAUCUGAUAUUUCAAAAGAGUUGAAUUAGCUUGGAAUAAAAUGUAGCAACAGGGAAUUGAAUAUCGUGCUGUUGCUCCAUAGGUUAACAAACAGAUGGGAAUCAAUUGCUUGUUACUAUGUAAGAGGCUGUAUCUCUAAUAUUGCCUGUUUUAAGUAAAGUACUUACAUUUACAGUUAGGUAAACAGAUGAUUUGCUUUGUUUUUACUGGGGCUCAAUUCACAUUGAAACUAAUGGUCAUUUAAUGUUCAAAUUGCUUAUGCCAUCCCAUUUGAUAUCUCUUCUCAAUGCCUAAGCAAGUUGCAGACCAGGCCCUGCAGGACUUGCAGCUGACUGCUUUUAAGUAGAUAUGGGCUCCUAAGCACUGAGAUUGUUUUUGGAGUGGGAGCUCUGGCAUACUGGGCUGAAUACUGAAAGGUAUUCAGGCAUACAAAUCGUUCAGUUUUUAAACUUUCCUUGAAGUAGUUAAUGGUUUCCUAUUUUGAUGUCUCUUCAGGCUUUGCCAAGAUUAAGCUUUUUCUAUUACUUUGUAUCUAUAGAAGAUACAAAACAGUUCACUCUCAGAAAGUGUUGUAUCCCGGCUAGGGCUAAUCAUGUGGCUUUCUUUCUUUAACUGAUUGCAUCAUUCUUGUUUCAGUUGGGACAACUUGGCUUACACCUUUCUCUUCCUUGUGUGACGUGGAGUGCACUGCACUGUUUUACUGUGCUUAUAUACUGGACAUGCUGUUCUCAGCUAUGGGACUAUGGAAAAAUGCCCAAAUUUUUCUCUGAAUGCUGCUAUACAGGUGCAGGCAGGGUGGCAAGUGUAAGCUCAUUGGGACAAAGAUGUAUUCUGAAGGAAGGACUGAAUAAGCGCUGUAAGCAGGAGUACUUCCAUAGUGUAGAACGCUGACUGCAGGCUCCUCCUUGUCCAGCCAGCCAAAGCUGACCUCGUGUUUGAUAUGGUUACUGCUCCUGUCUGUCUUCCAGUUUGGCUGCAGGGUCCUGUGCACCCUAGCUUGCUUUAUAGAUGUCUCACUGCUGCCACAUCCUGCACCUAUUAAAAUCUGGGCCAUGUCCCUUUCUCCCUCCCUGGAGCACAUGGAGGCCCUGUGAGUAUCCCCAUGGAAGGCUGACACCAACAGGCUGCACAGCGGGGUAAUUUACCACUAGAUGGCUGGACCUCCUUAUUGUCCAGCUCAGUUUUGUUCCCGGCUCAGCAUGACUGUGCUUAGUACAGAACAAUGGACUCAUUGUAAGCUCUCUGCCCACCCACUUUAUAGCUUAACAUUUUUAAACAGCUGAUGCUUUUAGCAGAUUUGCCUUCAUGAUGAAUAGUUCAAACUUUUGAAAUGUACUGAAAGAGCUGUGGUAAUAUCUAGGAAAAUUAUAGCUAUUUUGCAAGAUGAAAAGGAAAAGCUCCCUACUCCUAUUCUACUUUUUUUUUUUCUCCAUUUCAUUACAUGUGUAAUACAACAUUCACUGAGUCUUUUAUUUCGUACAUGCAUGCACAAGUGGGACACAUUUAACAGUUUGUCACUCAGACUGGGAUAUAACAUCAUGAUGUCCUGAGUAGUCACAGCCACGUACUUUGAUCUGGUGAAUUUGGUUAUGUAAAAUCUGUAGAACUUUUAGACACUGACAUAUAUGUCACUGUAAUUUGGGGCAGAAAUGUCUUUCCUUUAAGAAAAAUUAUUUUGCUCAUAGUCAGUCUUUUCAAAAACUUUGAUACCUCUGAGUGAAAAAUGUCGACUUUGCUGGUGAUUGCAGACUGAUACAUCCUACAGAGCAAGAAGGCCCACUUCAAAAGGAAGAUUUCUCCUGCCUGAAAGCAGACUAGAGGAGUAGACAAAGUAAACAUCUGUUUCUUGAAGAUAUCAUUUUUUUUUCCCUUAUCAGUCUCUUCACAUUUUCAGCUCUCUUACUUGUAUUUACUGGGUUCACAUUGUAUGUCUACAGACGUGUUUGUAUCCUUUGAGUUGCAAACAACAGAGAGGGAUAUUUUAAAAUAAAAUUAGUUGCUUUGCUGUCACAACACUAGCAUUUUAUACUUGCCAUUUGCAGGAACAUGGAGGAGUCAUGGUCCCUGCCUCCAAGGUAGUAUAAACUAAAAUAUCAAACCUGGAAAUCUUAGGGCAUGUUAACAGCUUUGUGAGAGCCUGAAGAUGUGCCUAAAGAAGGUGAUACAUGAAAUGCAGGUCCAGUGAUUAAAAACUCUACAGACUACUGCUGUAAGAUACCUGUUCACUGGUGACAUUACAAGUGCUAUGUUUGCUGUGGCAGCUCUGCAUAACAUCUGAGGAAUUAAAGGUGUCAAUGCCAAGGUAAAGGAAACAGGUAUCUUUGAUCCAACUAUGUGGUAACUGUCAUGAGAUGUGAAUAAAGAAGGUGUGUAUGAAGAACCAGACAAAAAAUUGUGAGGAAGUCAGCCUAAACAUUUCAAUCACCUUCCUCUGAGAUUAUCAGCUCACUUUUGCAGAAUAGUCCUAAAAAACUGUUAGAGGCCCAGGAUACAUCCUGUUAUGUAGUUAGACAGCUGACACCAAUGUCACAGCAAAGGUGGCACCCCUUUUGUCACGGCUCUUGCCAUAGCUCACAUGAGCAAGCAUGUUCCUAACAGAGGUUGGGAGGUGCUGCACUGCAUAUCCAGAGACUCCCCCAGCAGAUGCUGACUCUCUUGAGCACCUCAUCACUCUCGCCGGAGGGUUUUGGAUCAGCUCUCUGCUGUGAAGGCAGUGACAUAGAGUCCCUUCAGAUCACAGCAUCUCUACAGCCAUUCAAAUAAAAAAGCAAUGGAGAAAGUGUUGCUUGGAUUUGAAAUCAGAACUUGUGGCACAGUUGGCUUUUCCCAUUCUGUUCUCAGCGAGAUGAUUUAAGGACUUCACGGAGGUCUGGGGGCUGAACUCUUGACCACGAUGGCCAAACAUGUGCUCCAAUGCCUUCUAGCUCAACUAUUGGUCAGGCCAUGGUAGCAAAUUGUUCUAAAAGCUGAGCUCUGAGAUGAAUUGUUCUGCCAACCUCUCCUCCUACCACUCUGGCAGCAACUUACAGUUAAAGCCUACAGCAACCGGAUUUGCAGGUGUGCACUCUCUCAUCCUUCCUCCUGCUUCCACUCCCUGACCUUCUGACAGGUUUACAGAUCUUCCUGGUCAGAGAUGCCAGAAUGAUUCCCGAGGGACUGUUCAUGUGGAAAACUCUGAUCCAGGCUCCCAGGAAAAACCAAAAAUUUAAACAGGAGGAGGGAUGGGAGAAGCUCAGGUGGUUUAGGCCUGAGUAAAGGGAACCCUUGAAGGGAACCAUGCGCAAAGAUUACUUAAAAUAGUGGACUUGCAGAAAACCUUAUCACCAUUGAAAACACAGAGGAGCUUGUUCUCACGCUUCGUCUUCUGAGUGGUAUUACAGAGGAAACAGUUGUUAAACCUCUGAGUUGGAGGUGUCUGAGUGAGGAUGUCCUGUGUUAUAUGAUGAAGAAUUGCUGAAAACUCCUCAGAAGGCCUUGAAAAACCUAAUGGAUCUUAAGAAAAUCAUAUGGUGUUCUGUUAUAGGAUAAACAUUGGUUGCUCUUUCGAACAGAGCACUGUCAAGAAUUAUACCUGAACCUUCAGGUAUACACAAGCAGUAGUCUGUGUUUGGGAAGUGAACAAUUUCCAAGUUUGAAGUUUGUCCAGUACUUUUAGCAAUAUAAAGUUAGAAGGAUUAAUUUGACACUGGAAUCUAAAUUUAUAUCCAUAUUAACAACCAUGGUCCUGUAGCACCAGUUAUGAAAGGAGAGGUGUCUACCCAUACUCUGAUUGCAGUCAGCCCUAAUUUAGAACUGUAAAUCUGUGUCUGUUUUUGCAGAAUAAAGCAUAUGUUUUAUCUCAUUAAGCCUUGUCACUGUCCUGUGCAUAAAAUGGUGGUAAGAAGUACCUCAUAAUUAAUGCACUUCGGAGCCAGUUUGGUUGUAAGAGUGCUUGGAACCUCACCUGGAGUCACUGUGUGACAGUGAGCUAUGGACCAGGUGGCAUUGGCAAUGUGAUAACUCCCAGAAUUACAGUCUUUAGUGUGCUGCUCUGCCAUUUCUCUUCUUGAGUCACUCAGGCUUGCAUUUCUUUUUCCCUGGAAAAUGUCAAAGAAUUCAUAGAUCAAAAACUGGGAGCUGAUGCAAAGACAGAGGUGCUGGAUCUAAGAAAUGAUUGAGGAUCUGGGAUGAGAGUUCUUGGUGGAAAGUAAGAAUUUGAGAGUCUGCAACUCUACCUCUUUUAAGACUUCUCAAACUUGCUGCACUUAUUAGCAUUAGAAUUGGCCAGUCUUUAGUCAGAAGAAAUCCAUUGAUGUCUACAUCUUAAGAGAUGGGAAGUAGAUUGUCAUUUGGAGGGGGAUUCUUCUCCAGUGUCAGUAGGAAAUCAAGGCAUUGCCCAGUGUUAUGAAGCAGUGUGCUACUAGAAACAUUGCUCUGUCAUUGAAAUACCAUCCAUUAGUACUCCUCUGACUCAUCAGAUGAAUUAUGAACUAACUGAAUUUGAGUGACUGUCUUGCCCUACUGCAAGGAAAGGUAAUAUUGCUCCUGCUUAGUAUUGCCUCAGGCUUUUGUGCUAAAAGAGCACACUAGAAUUCAGUGUUGACUGGUAACUAACAGUGAAUUUAAAGUGCUGUCACACUCAUCGUGCUCAGCUUCUCUAGGUGGCCAAAACAUGUAAGAAGCAAUCCACAAGAGAUGGCACAAAACUAAAGGAUGGGGAUUUUUUUAAUCCCUGUUUGUUUAGGAGAGGAGACAAUAUGUGUUUGUAAACCAGAGAGGCUGCUGCAGGUGUAGAGGACUCUGUUACAGCUGGCAUUCUGAAAGAUCAAUUACCUACAUCAAAGCUGUUCUGCUGCCUUUGCUGUCUGGUUGCUUAUUUUUGAGGCUGCACAGGAACCAUACACACAAAGUGAAUUAAAAAGAGCAGGGUUCUGCGUUGAAUAUGCUCUUUGAGUGAGCAGUCUAACCCUUAACACCAGACAUCCCAAGUUCUUCUUAAGCUGAUGAGAUGAUGGGAUAAAGUUUUAAAGCUUUGGGCUUUAAAAAGACACUUGGCAAUGAUAAUACUAUGCUUGAUUGAGAAAGCAAGUGAAGUCAUGUAAUAUGAUGCUAUAAAUGAUGUAGGUUGUGUUUCAAUUGGAGUUGUUGAUUGGGAAUGAAUGGAUUAAUAGGUAAAACAU